GGAAGGAGAAAGAGGUCAGGCUUUGGGGUUGAUCAGAUUCCUGCUCUGCUAAUGGCCAGCUGUGUCCCUGUGCAGAGGACCCCAGCACUCAGGACCCCAGUGGUGGAGGAAGGGGUUAACGAUCUCUGUGCUGCAGGAUUAUUAUUAUUAUUAUUAUUUUUGAGACAGACUCUCGCCUGUCACCCAGGUUAGAGUAUAGUGGCGUGAUCUUAGCUUACUGCCUCCUCCACCUCCCGGGUUCAAGCAAUUCUCCUGCCUCAGUCUCCCGAGUAGCUGGGAUUACAGGCAUGCGCCACCACACCUGGCUAAUUUUUAUGUUUUUAGUAGACGUGGGGCUUCACCAUGUCAGCCAGGAUGGUCUCAAUCUCUUGACCUCGUGGUCCUUCGGCCUCGGCCUCCCAAAGUGCUCGGAUUACAGGUGUGAGCCACCACACCCUGCUGCAGGACUACUAUUUACCUGAGAGAUUUUAUAUAUUAGUAAGUCUAUGACAAGCACACAUCAUGUGUGUGAUAUACAGUAAGGGCUCAAUAAAUGCACACUGCUGAAAACCUGUUUCUGUCUUUCUUAGAUGCACCUGCUUCCCAAGGCCUGAGUGCUGAGCAUCUUUAUAUUCUCACCGGGGUCUCAGUGGUCUUCCUCUUUUGUCUCCUACUUCUGGUCCUCUUUUUCCUCCAUCACCAGAAUCAGAUAAAGCAGGACAAGGCCACAGUCAGUGGACUUCCUGAGAAGGACAGAGAGAUGGACACCUCGGCCCCGGCUGCAGGGGACCCCCAGGAGGUGACGUAUGCGCAGCUGGACCACUGGGCCCUCACACGGAGGACAGCCCAGGCUGUGUCUCCACAGUCCACAAAGCCCAUGGCUGAGUCCUGCACGUAUGCAGCCAUUGCCGGACACUGACCCCAGGCCCACCUGACCUCUACACCUGAGGAUGUAAAGUCACUCUAGGAAAAGGCUGAAGCGGCCAUUUGGAAGGCUUCCUCUUGGACUCAUCAUCAUCUGGAAAGCGAGUCAGGCAGCUGUCCAGGAGACAUGAGCUGGAGACGAGUUUUCUAACCAGCUUCCAGAAGUUUCCUUAACCAGGUGGUUCCUUCUACAAUUGACCAGCUCCUUGGAUAGACUGUGUUGCCAUUGAUUCCAGAGACUCAGAUACAUACACCUGACUACUUCUAGAAACGAAUCUCUAAUCAGCUGGCUGUUUCCAGACACCCAUCUACAAUUGUCUGGCUGUCUCUAGAACUCCAGCUACAGUUGUCUGGCUAUUUCUAGAGACACAGCUACAGUUGUGACUGUUUCUAGAGACCCAGCUGCAGUUGUCUGGCUGCUUCUAGAGACCCAGCUUUAUUCACCUGACUGUUUUCAGAGACCCAACUAUAGUCACCUGGCUAUUUUCAGAAACCCAGCCACAGGUUGUCUCCAGAGACCCUGCUACAAACACCCAGCUGAUCUGAUGAGCAGUGAAGCAGUCCCCCAGCUGGUCCUAGGUGUCUCCUGUGAAUCUCCAAUGACCCCAGAGACUUUGUUGGAAUGAUCUGCUCUCUGACCCUGAAGACCUUCCUAGAAGUGAAGAGCUAACCUUGAGACAGUGCUAUACAUUUACAGCUGAGAGCUAAGCCCGGUUCUCUGGGUCAUACUUUACUCUGUGCAUCAGUAAAUAAUUCUGAAGACAUCACACCUGGUGGCCCCAUGCCUGGUCCUGGGUGCACAGGUCAUCUGGGCCGAGUCUCUGCCUUCACAGUUGUUCAAAGCUGAGUGAGGGAAACAGGACUUACAAAGGACGUGUCAGCGUUUUCAUUUUAAAAUUGAGUGGACAAAGAUAGCAUAUAUUCCGGGUGUACAAUGGGAUAAUUUGAUAUACGUAUACAUUGCACAAUGAUCGCCAUAAUCAAAUUAAUGAGCACAGUUUUCACCACCCAUGCCGUACGCAAGACCUCCUGAACUUGCUCAUCACAGGACUCAGAGUUGGUGUCAGUAUUUUCAGAUGGAGCCUGUGUUUCAGGGAUGAAUGAGGGAGGUGUCUGAGGGACGUGUGGGUGGGUGCAGACAGAGAGCUGACCUCACCUACCCAAAGCUUUACACACACACACAAACAUGUAUACACUCACACGUGCACACAGCAUGC
rnacentral:lncRNA from 1 species